rnacentral:rRNA from 1 species
UACGGAGGGAGCUAGCGUUGUUCGGAAUUACUGGGCGUAAAGCGCACGUAGGCGGCUUUGUAAGUUAGAGGUGAAAGCCCGGGGCUCAACUCCGGAACUGCCUUUAAGACUGCAUCGCUUGAAUCCAGGAGAGGUGAGUGGAAUUCCGAGUGUAGAGGUGAAAUUCGUAGAUAUUCGGAAGAACACCAGUGGCGAAGGCGGCUCACUGGACUGGUAUUGACGCUGAAGAGCGAAAGCGUGGGGAGCAAACAGG